rnacentral:rRNA from 1 species
UACAGAGGGUGCGAGCGUUGUCCGGAAUCACUGGGCGUAAAGGGCGCGUAGGUGGCCCGACAAGUCAAUGGUGAAAGCUCGACGCUCAACGUCGAGUCGGCCACUGAUACUGUUGGGCUGGAGCACUGUAGAGGCUCAUGGAAUUCCGGGUGUAGCGGUGGAAUGCGUAGAGAUCCGGAAGAACACCGGUGGCGAAGGCGGUGAGCUGGGCAGUAGCUGACACUGAGGCGCGACAGCGUGGGGAGCGAACAGG